AGCGAACGCUGGCGGUAGGCUUAACACAUGCAAGUCGAACGGCAGCACAGUAAGAGCGUACUCUUACGGGUAGCGAGUGGCGGACGGGUCAUGAAUACAUCGGAACCUACUUUUUCGUGGAGGAUAACGGAGGGAAACUUACGCUAAUACCGCAUACCACCUACGGGUGAAAGCAGGGGAUCUUCGGACCUUGCGCGAUUGAAUGCGCAGAUGUCGGAUUAGCUAGUUGGCGGGGUAAAGGCCCACCAAGGAGACGAUCCGUAACUGGUCUGAGAGGAUGAUCAGCCACACUGGAACUGAGACACGGUCCAGACACCUACGGGAGGCAGCAGUGGGGAAUAUUGGACAAUGGGCGCAAGCCUGAUCCAGCCAUACCGCGUGGGUGAAGAAGGCCUUCGGGUUGUAAAGCCCUUUUGUUGGGAAAGAAAAGCAGCAGGUUAAUACCCCGCUGUUCUGACGGUACCCAAAGAAUAAGCACCGGCUAACUUCGUG
rnacentral:rRNA from 1 species